rnacentral:tRNA from 2 species
GCUCAUAUAGCUCAGGGGUAGAGCACUUCCUUGGUAAGGAAGAGGUCAUCGGUUCAAUUCCGAUUAUGAGCUCCA